GCCUGGGUGGUGGAAUUGGUAGACACGCAAGAUUCAGGUUCUUGUGAGUGAAUAGCUUGUGCAGGUUCAAAUCCUGUCCCAGGCACCA
rnacentral:tRNA from 1 species